UCAAGCCUACGGGGCGCAGCAGUGGGGAAUAUUGCACAAUGGGGGAAACCCUGAUGCAGCGACGCCGCGUGGGUGAAGGAGCGUUUCGGCGCGUAAAGCCCUAUCGGCAGGGAAGAAGAUGACGGUACCUGACCAAGAAGCCCCGGCUAACUACGUGCCAGCAGCCGCGGUAAUACGUAGGGGGCAAGCGUUAUCCGGAUUUACUGGGUGUAACGGGGGCGCAGACGGCAAUGCAAGCCAGGAGUGGAAGCCCGGGGCCCAACCCCGGGACUGGUCUUGG
rnacentral:rRNA from 1 species